AAUCAACGCUGGCGGCGUGCCUCAGACAUGCAAGUCGAACGCGAAAAGUUUCCUUCGGGGGAUGAGUAGAGUGGCGCACGGGUGAGUAACACGUAGGUAAUCUACCUUUGGAUGGGGAAUAACAAUCGGAAACGGUUGCUAAUACCGCAUAAUGCAGCGGCACCUAAUGGUGACAGUUGUUAAAGCGGGGGAUCGAAAGACCUCGCGUCUGAAGAGGAGCCUGCGGCGGAUUAGCUAGUUGGUAAGGUAAACGGCUUACCAAGGCGACGAUCCGUAGCCGGCCUGAGAGGGCGGUCGGCCACACUGACACUGACAUACGGGUCAGACUCCUAC
rnacentral:rRNA from 1 species